UACGAAGGUGGCGAAUGUUGCUCGGAUUCACUGGGCGUAAAGCGUCGGUAGGAGGUUGUUUAAGUCAGGUGUGAAAGCCCCGUGCUCAACAUGGGAAUUGCACUUGAAACUAGACAACUGGAAGAUAUGAGAGGAUGGCGGAAUAACUGGUGUAGAGGUAAAAUUCAUAGAUAUCAGUUGGAACACCCAUGGCGAAGGCAGCUAUCUGGCAUAUUCUUGACUCUGAGCGACGACAGCGUGGGGAGCAAACAGGAUUAGAUACCCUGGUAGUCCACGCCGUAAACGAUGCAUGCUCGCUGUCGGGUUCGCUACAGAACUCGGUGGCUUAGCUAACGCGGUAAGCAUGCCGCCUGGGGAUUACGGCCGCAAGGUUAAA
rnacentral:rRNA from 1 species